GCUGGGUGCGGUGGUGCACACCUGUAAUCCCAGCCAUUUGGGAGGCUGAGGCAGGAGGAUCCUGAGUUCAAAGCCAGACUCAGCAAAAGCAAGCUGUUAAGCAACUCAGUGAGACCCUGUCUCCA
rnacentral:sRNA from 1 species